UGACCGCCACAAUGAUCGUGGUUAAAAGGCCAUACGGACAGCCGGGUCAAAUGCCGA
rnacentral:sRNA from 1 species